rnacentral:misc_RNA from 1 species
UCUCCGUUGGUGAACCAGCGGAGGGAUCAUUACCGAGUUUACAACACCCAAACCCAAUGUGAACCAUACCAAACUGUUGCCUCGGCGGGGUCACGCCCCGGGUGCGUCGCAGCCCCGGAACCAGGCGCCCGCCGGAGGGACCAACCAAACUCUUUCUGUAGUCCCCUCGCGGACGUUAUUUUUACAGCUCUGAGCAAAAAUUCAAAAUGAAUCAAAACUUUCAACAACGGAUCUCUUGGUUCUG